rnacentral:rRNA from 1 species
CCUACGGGUGGCAGCAGUGGGGAAUAUUGCACAAUGGGCGCAAGCCUGAUGCAGCCAUGCCGCGUGUGUGAAGAAGGCCUUCGGGUUGUAAAGCACUUUCAGCGGGGAGGAAGGCGGUGAGGUUAAUAACCUCAUCGAUUGACGUUACCCGCAGAAGAAGCACCGGCUAACUCCGUGCCAGCAGCCGCGGUAAUACGGAGGGUGCAAGCGUUAAUCGGAAUUACUGGGCGUAAAGCGCACGCAGGCGGUCUGUCAAGUCGGAUGUGAAAUCCCCGGGCUCAACCUGGGAACUGCAUUCGAAACUGGCAGGCUAGAGUCUUGUAGAGGGGGGUAGAAUUCCUGGUGUAGCGGUGAAAUGCGUAGAGAUCUGGAGGAAUACCGGUGGCGAAGGCGGCCCCCUGGACAAAGACUGACGCUCAGGUGCGAAAGCGUGGGGAGCAAACAGGAUUAGAUACCCUUGUAGUC